GACGAACGCUGGCGGCGUGCUUAACACAUGCAAGUCGAACGGAAAGGCCCUGCUUUUGUGGGGUGCUCGAGUGGCGAACGGGUGAGUAACACGUGAGUAACCUGCCCUUGACUUUGGGAUAACUUCAGGAAACUGGGGCUAAUACCGGAUAGGAGCUCCUGCUGCAUGGUGGGGGUUGGAAAGUUUCGGCGGUUGGGGAUGGACUCGCGGCUUAUCAGCUUGUUGGUGGGGUAGUGGCUUACCAAGGCUUUGACGGGUAGCCGGCCUGAGAGGGUGACGGGCCAAAUUGGGAGGGAAGGAGGGCCCAGCCCCACACGGGGGGGAGGAGGGGGGAAUGUUGACAAGGGGGCGGAAGCCGGAAGGAGCAAGCCCGGGGGCGGGAGGGAGGCCUUCGGGUUGGAAACCGCUUUCGCUUGGGCGGAAGGGUAAGGAACGGAAAGGGGUAAAAAAGCACGGGUAACUUCGGG
rnacentral:rRNA from 1 species